AAAGUAGAGGAGCCUGAACAGAGGAAAUGUGCAGAGGUAGUAGAGAAAUAGCAUGUGUGUUUGUAUAUGUGUUUGUAUGUGUGUUUGUAUGUGUGUGUGUGUGUGUGUG